CAGAUAGCAAUAACUAAACACAGGAAGGGCAGGGAGAGUGUUUGAGAAGUGUCUUGAAGAUUAAGAGUUGCCUCCAGGAGUAUAAAUAGACAUAAAUGAAGCAAAGACGAGAAAUCCUGGGAGUUGUAGCUCAGGAAGUUAAGUAGAAACACUGCAGAAGGGAAAGAUGGAGGGUGCGAGGGGCAUGACCAAGGCUGAGUCAGUUAAGUCUCUCUGAGGCCACCUAAAGAAAGAGGGAGCACACUUAGAACUGAUGCUUAAGAACUCAGCUCCUGAGCUCUGCCAGCUGCGCGCUGUGCAUAGAGAUGGCGCCUGUCUGAGAAAAGAGAGUCACAGACAGCACAGAAAAGCUUUAACUCAGCCAGGCCUGGGUGGCAGACAAGUGUUGUUGGUCCUCUGAGCUGGCGGAGACACGAAUGACACGGACACCAAGCUGAGUGAUAAAAUGUCGAAGCAGAAUCUUCUGGAGUCUACAGAUUUCAGUUCUG
rnacentral:lncRNA from 1 species